rnacentral:rRNA from 1 species
GUAACAGGCCGCAAGGUGCUGACGAGUGGCGAACGGGUGAGUAAUGCAUCGGAACGUGCCCAGUCGUGGGGGAUAACGCAGCGAAAGCUGCGCUAAUACCGCAUACGAUCUGUGGAUGAAAGCGGGGGACCGUAAGGCCUCGCGCGAUUGGAGCGGCCGAUGUCAGAUUAGGUGGUUGGUGGGGUAAAGGCUCACCAAGCCAACGAUCUGUAGCUGGUCUGAGAGGACGACCAGCCACACUGGAACUGAGACACGGUCCAGACUCCUACGGGAGGCAGCAGUGGGGAAUUUUGGACAAUGGACGCAAGUCUGAUCCAGCCAUUCCGCGUGCAGGAUGAAGGCCCUCGGGUUGUAAACUGCUUUUGUACGGAACGAAAAGGUUUCUCUUAAUACGAGGAGCUCAUGACGGUACCGUAAGAAUAAGCACCGGCUAACUACGUGCCAGCAGCCGCGGUAAUACGUAGGGUGCAAGCGUUAAUCGGAAUUACUGGGCGUAAAGCGUGCGCAGGCGGUUAUAUAAGACAGAUGUGAAAUCCCCGGGCUCAACCUGGGAACUGCAUUUGUGACUGUAUAGCUAGAGUACGGUAGAGGGGGAUGGAAUUCCGCGUGUAGCAGUGAAAUGCGUAGAUAUGCGGAGGAACACCGAUGGCGAAGGCAAUCCCCUGGACCUGUACUGACGCUCAUGCACGAAAGCG